CCACCUACGUACGUGUAUUUGCCACCAACAGACGAGCCGUAUGAGGGACCACCGGGAGAGAGAUUUGAGGACUGAAGAAUGCAGAGAAUAUGCUACAUGGAUUAUUCUGGACUAUACCUUUGCCUCUGUUGUAUCUUUGGAUUGUAAUAAUUCUAAUGGACUUUGGAUGUAUUGCGUUCUAUGUGUGGACUUUGGACAUGACUUAUGUGCAAUAAUUCUAAUGGACUUUGGAUGUAUUACGUUGUAUGUGUGGACUGUGGACAUGAGUUAUGUGUUAAAUGGUGUAUUUGUCAUUGUUUUGUGGAGUUAUAUAUAUGUUAUGCAUUAUAAACUGUCAA